GCACCAGCCCCCGCGCCUGCCCGCCCGCCCUGCGGUCCGGUCCUGGCGCCCGCGCAGAACCAGCUGUCUGAGCUGUCCGGGCGGCGGGGGAGCAGCGAGCGGGCUUCUGCGAGCCGGAGGAGGCACAGGCCUGUCCCGGGUCCCGGCAGGUCUGCGCGUCUGUUCCCAGGACUCUGCGAGGCCUGAAAAGGAGCAGCAACCUGUCCAGAAUCCCCGCAGGACAGGA
rnacentral:lncRNA from 1 species